rnacentral:rRNA from 1 species
UGGGGAAUCUUGCACAAUGGGCGCAAGCCUGAUGCAGCAACGCCGCGUGCGGGAAGACGGCCCUAGGGUUGUAAACCGCUUUCAGGAGGGAAGAAAAUGACGGUACCUCCAGAAGAAGGUGCGGCCAACUACGUGCCAGCAGCCGCGGUGACACGUAGGCACCAAGCGUUAUCCGGAUUUAUUGGGCGUAAAGAGCUCGUAGGCGGUUCGGUAAGUCGGGUGUGAAAUCCAAGGCUCAACCUUGGGACGCCACCCGAUACUGCUGUGACUCGAGUGCAGUAGGGGGAGCAGGGAAUUCCUGGUGUAGCGGUGAAAUGCGCAGAUAUCAGGAGGAACACCAGUGGCGAAGGCGCUGCUCUGGGCUGUAACUGACGCUGAGGAGCGAAAGCAUGGGUAGCAAAACAGGAUUAGAUACCCUGGUAGUCCACGCCGUAAACGAUGAGUGCUAGAUGUUGGGCAUUUUCGGAUUUCAGUGUCGCAGCUAACGCAUUAAGCACUCCGCCUGGGAGUAC